rnacentral:rRNA from 1 species
GACGAACGCUGGCGGCGUGCUUUACACAUGCAAGUCGAACGGUGAAGGUGGAGCUUGCUCCGCCGGAUCAGUGGCGAACGGGUGAGUAACACGUGGGCAACCUGCCCCUAACUUUGGGAUAACUACUCGAAAGAGUAGCUAAUACCGGAUAUGAAGUCUGUAGGCAUCUAUGGAUUUGGAAAGUUUUUUGGUUAGGGAUGGGCCCGCGGCCUAUCAGCUUGUUGGUGAGGUAGUGGCUCACCAAGGCGACGACGGGUAGCCGGCCUGAGAGGGCGACCGGCCACACUGGGACUGAGACACGGCCCAGACUCCUACGGGAGGCAGCAGUGGGGAAUAUUGCGCAAUGGGCGAAAGCCUGACGCAGCAACGCCGCGUGCGGGAUGAAGGCCUUCGGGUUGUAAACCGCUUUCAGCAGGGAAGAAGCGAAAGUGACGGUACCUGCAGAAGAAGCACCGGCUAACUACGUGCCAGCAGCCGCGGUAA